GCCUGGCUGGCGCAAUGGUUAGCGCGUAGAACUUCUAGUCAAGCAAACUUUAGAUUCUAAACUUUGCAGAGCAAGCCCGUAAGGGACCGCUAGAGGAUAUUCUAAGGUUGUGCGUUCGAGUCGCACGUCGGGCU